rnacentral:sRNA from 21 species
GUUUAUCGAAUUUUUAAACAAUUCUAACUAUUCUAAUAUAACCAUUCAAGGAAGGAGUAUAUUAAAAUGACAAAUCAAACAUAUAACCCAACUGACAAUUUAAUUAUUUUAUUAUACUCGCAAGGGCUGGAACUUUAGUAAUUAUCUGUUACUAAAUGUUUAAGUCCUAUUUCUCAUUGAAUGGGACUUAUAGA